GAUGAGCAUGCGUCCCAUUAGCUUGUUGGUAAGGUAACGGCUUACCAAGGCAACGAUGGGUAGGGGUCCUGAGAGGGAGAUCCCCCACACUGGUACUGAGACACGGACCAGACUCCUACGGGAGGCAGCAGUGAGGAAUAUUGGUCAAUGGGCGCAAGCCUGAACCAGCCAUGCCGCGUGCAGGAUGACGGUCCUAUGGAUUGUAAACUGCUUUUGUACAGGAAGAAACAGUUCUACGUGUAGAACCUUGACGGUACUGUAAGAAUAAGGAUCGGCUAACUCCGUGCCAGCAGCCGCGGUAAUACGGAGGAUCCAAGCGUUAUCCGGAAUCAUUGGGUUUAAAGGGUCCGUAGGCGGUUUUGUAAGUCAGUGGUGAAAGCCCAUCGCUCAACGGUGGAACGGCCAUUGAUACUGCAAGACUUGAAUUAUUAGGAAGUAACUAGAAUAUGUAGUGUAGCGGUGAAAUGCUUAGAGAUUACAUGGAAUACCAAUUGCGAAGGCAGGUUACUACUAAUGGAUUGACGCUGAUGGA
rnacentral:rRNA from 1 species